rnacentral:sRNA from 1 species
AUUAACCUUAACAGAUUGGUAUCAGAGCCAGGUUGGCAAAGAAAGGCUAAAGCUU